rnacentral:rRNA from 1 species
GCUCGUAGUUGGAUCUCGGCGGACAGAAGUCGGUCCGAAUGCUUUCGGUACUGGCUUGUUUGUCCGUGUGUUUUGCCAGAGGCAGGCGGGUGCUCUUCGCCGAGUGUCCGUCUGUGCUGGCAGGUUUACUUUGAAAAAAUUAGAGUGCUCAAAGCAAGCUCUCACGCUUGAAUAUUCGUGCAUGGAAUAAUAGAAUAGGAUGUCGUUUCUAUUUUGUUGGUUUUCGGAAAUCGACAUAAUGAUUAAUAGGGACAGUCGGGGGCAUUUGUAUUCAAACGACAGAGGUGAAAUUCUUGGACCGUUUGAAGACAAACUACUGCGAAAGCAUUUGCCAAGAAUGUUUUCAUUAAUCAAGAACGAAAGUUAGAGGUUCGAAGGCGAUUAGAUACCGCCCUAGUUCUAACCAUAAACGAUGCCAGCUAGCGAUCUGCAGGCGUUUUACUUUACGACCUUGCAGGGAGCUUCCGGGAAACCAAAGCUUGUGGGUUCCAGGGGAAGUAUGGUUGCAAAGCUGAAACUUAAAGGAAUUGACGGAAGGGCACCACCAGGAGUGGAGCCUGUGGCUUAAUUUGACUCAACACGGGAAAUCUCACCAGGCCCGGACACGAGAAGGAUUGACAGAUUGAUAGCUCUUUCUUGAUUUCGUGGGUGGUGGUGCAUGGCCGUUCUUAGUUGGUGGAGUGAUUUGUCUGGUUAAUUCCGAUAACGAACGAGACUCUGUCCUGCUAACUAGUGUCUGCUUCUUUUCUGAGCAGAUUAUUCUUCUUAGAGGGACU